GUGUCAGUGUAACAACGUCCUACCCCUGGUGUUAUUGGAUUGACAACUCGUAACUCGAGAUCGAUUAACCAGUCGAGCGUCAUGAUCGAUUCAGCGUCCGGAUAUAUCGACAGCCGGUACGUGUGAGCACAUCGACCGGACUCGGCCUCUUUCCUCAGUCAGCAGUGAACGAAGCAAGUCGCGUAGAGCUCCCGCUUGCGAGUAGGACGGCAAAUAGUCAGAUUCCACAAUGGCGAUCCAUGCCACGAGUUAUUUUUCUUCGCGUUUAUUUGAAUGCCAUCUGACUCGCAAGCGGGAGACUUUGCAAAGUGAGAUUUGUGUGCGUAGUUUAGUGCUAAAUAGAAGAUUAUUUAUAUCCUUAGGUAACAAGUGUGACAGACAUUUCGUUGAAACUAUUUUUGUGACCGCGUGUGAAGUGAGUGGUGGUUCGAGCAAGUGAAACCGGCGUCAGGAGCCGGAUAGUGAUUGCCUUGGGGAUCCGUCGGCGCAGAAACCUUGUGGUUUCGAGAUGGCUGGCCAAUAUGUACGCAUGCCUCUUCAAGAUAACCCGGAUGAUAUGGAGGAUUCACGAUCAGAAAGUGGAUUGAGUAUUACGGGUCCCGAAUCCACCCAGGAUGCAGCACAAGCUUCAGAGCCUACGGUACAGGAAUUCCCCGUACAACUGCCAAA